UAGCCUAUUGGUUAAGGCUAUGGAUCACCAAUCCGGAGGCAACGGGUUCGAUUCCCGU
rnacentral:tRNA from 1 species